GACGAACGCUGGCGGCGUGCCUAAUACAUGCAAGUCGAACGCUGAAGGAGGAGCUUUCUUCUCUGGAUGAGUUGCGAACGGGUGAGUAACGCGUAGGUAACCUGCCUGGUAGCGGGGGAUAACUAUUGGAAACGAUAGCUAAUACCGCAUAAGAGUAGAUGUUGCAUGACAUUGGCUUAAAAGUUGCAAUUGCAUCGCUACCAGUUGGACCUUCGUUGUAUUAGGUUGUUGGUGGGGUAACGGCUUACCAAGGCGGCGAUACGUAGACGACCGGUGAGGGGGAUCGGCCAGCCUGGGAGGGUGACCGGGCCCAGAGGCAUUGGGGAGGGAGCCGGAGGGAAGCUGGGGGCAGCGGUGGGAGUCUGACCGCAAAACGCCGAGGGAGUGAAGAAGGUUUUCGGGUCGUAAAGGUCUGUUGUAAGAGAAGAAAGAGUGUGAGAGUGGAAAGUUCAGAGUGUGACGGUAACUGAUAAGAAAGGGACGGCUAACUACGUG
rnacentral:rRNA from 1 species